AAGGACCGAGAGAAGGCCGUGGAAGAAGCAAACGUGGGCCUGGAAACGCUAGAAAAUGAGCUCAAGGAUAAGAAGUUCUUUGGAGGAGAGAGUAUCGGAUUUGUAGAUAUCGCUGCCAAUUUCAUAGGCUUUUGGGUUGGAGUUCUUGAGGAAGUGGUUGGAGUGGAAUUGCUGACAAUUGACAAAUUUCCAAUAUUAUGCAAAUGGAGAGAUGAGUACGUCGGGUGCAGUGGGAUCAAGGAAAAUCUGCCUUCCAAAGAAAAGCUAGGGGCCUAUUUUCGGACCCGGGUUGAAAGCGCCAGUCAAUCCGAAUGAAUGGUUUGUGGAUGAGGUUAUGCGGACUGCUGCUCAUGGACAUGAGUAACUUGAAAGAAAACCAGCCUUCUGUAUGUUUGUGUAAUGCGUUAUGCUUCUGCUUUUCUAGUAUGUUGUAUACUUGUUUUGGCAUGUAAUAAGGAGUCGAUUGCCGUGGUUUGUCGUUUUGGAUGAACCGGCAAACGUGUUAGACUAUAUGGUCUGUACACCUUUUCCACUCCUCGCUUUGUGAGAAUAAAGGAUGUUGAGUCAAACAUUGACAGUGUGAACUUGAACAUGGAAACAAUAAAGCCCGUCACUCUUGCUUUGUGUGCGGCUCAGAAGCUGAACAUGUAGUCCAGGAGCCGUGAUUCAACUCUCUUACUAACAAAAAGACAACAUAUACCCCCUCAAUCGGUCAUUAAUGACAUAUUUAUUUUCUUUAUUCAUUAUGUCAUCAUGCUAUUCCUUCACUUUUUCCUUCUCAAGUGGAUUAAGCAGAGACCUUGGAAAAAUUAAUCCUUUUGAGGAGGCAGAAGUAGGCAUGUUUGCAUGUGAUUAAGAAUAAACAUCGGCCAUGGAGAAUGAACAUUGUUACAUGACCUAGCCAUGAAUAUAUACUAAAACAUAAAGAGCUAGGAAUUCCCAACUCCACCUCGGGUAGAUUUGGUGUGGAUUGAACAUACUAUAGACGAGAUACGAGUUAGCCUGCCAUCCUGUCCAAUCUAAUUAAGUUGCAGCUAGUCUUAAAAAGAACCAAUUUCCUUCUAAAUAUUCAUUUAGGAACUGGGAAGGAUACCUUUCAUAAACAUGUCAUAACACACUUGACAACCCGGGACUACUAUGGUAGAUUAUGCAUUAAUAGGGCCUCUUUUUCUUCCUUUUUCACUUUUCUGGAAGUGUACACCAACAACUGUGCCUGGGGGAUGAUAUCGAUUGACGAAUUUAUAAGUAUAAAACACCUAAGGUUGUUCUAUGGUACCCAAUCUCUAUUUUGGGAUACCUACCCACAUUUGACCCCAAUAAAAAGAUGACAUGUGUAAAGUACAUAUCAUUAAAAAAUUUAUAAAAACUUAUCAAAUCGGUAAAGAUAAUUUGUUGGUGAGAAAUAAUCACAUGCAUUUCAUCUAUAUAUAAAUAUUAUAACUUUUUUAUAAUUUAUUAUUAAAUAUCAAAUAUAAUUUGUUAUUUAAUGCAUUACCUAACUCUAUCUAAAAAAAGAAAAUCCUACCAACUAUUCUUAUACUCUCAUUAUUCAUAUAUAAAAAAAAAGAUAGUAAUUUAAUAUGAAAAUUAAAUAAUUUCAACUACCAAAUUACAAAAUAUGUAAGACGUAUUUUGAUGAAUCAAAUUUCAAGAUCAAGUUUAAAACUUUUUUAGAGAGAAAAAUUAAAAUUUGUAUUAUAUGAAGAAGAUGAAGGAUUUCAAGUGAUUACAAGUGUCAAAAAUAAUAUUUGAUAUUUUUUUUAUCCAAAUAUAAUUGUUGUAGAAAGAAAUGUGAUGUUAAAUAACGAUUUUAGAAUUUUUUAUGAGUUUAUUAUAAAAUUUUGUUAUCAAAUUGUUACUAAUAUUUUUAUAUAAUUAUUUUUUUUUUGUUCAUAGAUUAAAUUUGAAGAUGAAGCUUUAUAUGUCUUGAAGGAUGUCAAGUGAUUACAAGUGUUAAAAGGUAACCUUUGAUUUUUUUUUCCAUUUACAUAUAACUAUUGUAGGUAGAAAUGUCAUGUUAAAUGACAUUUAAAUAUGUAAUGAUUUAUAACAUCUAGAUUUUUUAAUUUUUUUUAGUUAUUAUUAAUCAAAUUGAGAGCAUUUAGUCAUUUGUUAUGAAAUUGUCAUCAAUAUUUUGUAAGAUAAGGGUACAAACUUUUUAAGAGAUGGUACAAACUUUAGUACAAACAUUGUAAGAGAGGAUACGAACAUUAUAAGAUAAUAUACGAACUUUCUAAGAGAUGGUACGAAGUUUACAAGAGAUUGUACGAACUUUGUAAGAGAUGGUACGAACUUUCUAAGAAAAUAUAUGAACUUUAUAAGAGAUGGUAUGAACUUUGUAAGAGAAGGUACGAACUUUGUAAGAGAAUGUACGAACUUUCUAAGACAAUGUACGAACGUGGUAAAAGAGGAUACGAACUUUGUAAGAAAUGGUACAAACUUUCUAAGAGAUGGUACGAACUUUUUGAAGAGAUUGUACGAACUUUCUAAGAUAGUGUACAAACUUUGUAAAAGAUGGUACGAACUUUGUAAGAGAUGGUACGAACUUUCUAAGAAAUUGUACGAACUUUCUAAGAGAUAGUAUGAACUUUGUAAAAGAUGGUACGAACUUUGUAAAAGAGGGUACGAACUUUUUAAGAGAUGGUACGAAUUUUAUAAGAGAGUGUACGAACUUUGAAAAUAUAAUAUUUUACAAUUACGUAGUGUUUUAAUUUUUUAAUUUUCUUGAAAAUAGUUUCCAUCAUUUCUAUGCUUGAUUAGUAUCAAUAAACAAUAUUAUUUGCAUUUUUAAGUGGAAAAAAUUGAAAAAAUUUUAAAUUUCAGGAUAUGGAGAAUAUGAUGUAGGGUAUGAAGAAUGUAUGGAUUUCUCAUAAUCUUCAUACCUUUUCUCACAUGUUUUGUAUCCUCUCUAAUUUUUUAGUGUUUUAAUUUUCUAAUUUUUUUUAGGAUAAUUUACAUUAUUUCCAAUUUUAAAAUUUUAAAAUUCUUUUUUUUGUAACAAUUCUAUCAAUAAUAACUCAAAUAAUAUUAUUAAACUAUGUUAUUGUUAUUUCAAGUUAAAAACUAAAUAUGAAAUUUUAAAAAUAUAAAUAAUUUAGGGUACAAAAAAUAUGAGAACAGUACGAAAAAUGUGAUAAAUACAUGUUUGGCACUUUCAUCACAUUUUUUAUAUUGAUUUUUAGUUUUAAAAUUUUUGAAAUUAAAAAUUUAUUUUCGAAAAUACUAUCAUUAGUAACUCAAAAGAGUAUUAGUAAUUUAUUUUAUCUAAUUUAACUUUAAAAACCUUAAAUUCAAAAAAUGUAAAAUUUGGAGAGUACAUAAAAAAAUUAGGACAAUCUAAUUACCUAAGUUUUACAUAUGAUUAUCAAAAUGUUGAAUUUUAAUUAAAAUACUCAUUUUAUAUUAAAAUAUUAUCAUAUUCAUUUUUAUGUUGAAUUUAAAUCUUUAAUAAUUUGUUAAAAAUAAAAUAAUGUAAUUAUGAUAUAUGAUGAUUUUUUUUUUUUGCUAAUAAAUAUGUUUUCAAAUUUUAUAUCAUUUUUAUUUUUAUUUUUUUCCAAUUCUAUUUUUAUCUCAUAUUUAUUUUAUUUAAACCAAAAAUUGUUAAGAAUGGAGGAAGAAAGAAGGUCAUGAUUCUUCUCUUAACUGGUUAAGAGGAAUUUUUAUUUCAAAUUUAAAAUAGAUGGCCAAGAUGUAAUAUUGAACAUCAAUGGCUUAGAAAAACUUUUCGGUAGGUACCGAAGAGGUACCCUAGAAUUUUCCAACACCUGGAGGCUUAUUUGCCAAGUAAUCCUAUAAUUGUCCCUCCGUAAGAAGGCGCGAACUUGAAAGAAGAACCAAAUGUAAAAGCAGAACCACAUACUCUUUUAAUGUGGAAAUAGAGAAGUUGGGACCAAGUGAAGCUCAUUGUGAUGUGGGAAAACCCUUUGAAACUAAAAUGAGUCUGGUAUGAUUACAAUGAAGAAGAUCUCAAUAAUAAGAGUUUGUUGCUUCUCUAGUCGCUCUACAUGCUCCCACACAACAUAAAGCCCAUUGUGGAUUGUUAACUUGUAAUGCAUAGAAGAACUUAGAAAGCGGCGAUCUAUGGCACGUUUCUGUAAUGUCCGGGUAUUUUAGGCCACGUUGAAAAUUCUAGUUUGAAAAGUUUUCCUUUGAGUAGUGGUUGAAAAGUCAAAAAAAAAAAAAAAAUGAUUGGAGAAUACGUGUUAAUUUUGAAUUGAUGAAAUUCGAUUUAUUGUGUUGAUCAAUUAGACGAGUUAAAAAUUUUGUGCCACGUCAACCUUAUGGUAGAAAUUUUCUUAGGAUUUUAGAAAUUGAAAAUUUCCGGAAACAAAAAAUGAAAACAAAAAUGAAAAGUGAAUUAAUUAAAAUUAAUUAGAAUUAAUUUUUAUCAAAAUUUUCUUAGGAUAUUAAAAAUUGAAAAUUUCAGGAAACGAAAAACGAAAACGAAAAUGAAAAGUAAAUUAAUUAAAAUUAAUUAGAAUUAAUUUUUAUCAAAAUUUUCUUAGGAUUUUAGAAAUUGAAAAUUUACGGAAACGAAAAACGAAAACGAAAAUUAAAAGUGAAUUAAUUAAAAUUAAUUAGAAUUAAUUAAAUAAAAAAAUAAAUUAAAUUUGUUUAUUAAGAAAAAUUGAGAAAAUUAAAUUUUUGAGUUGGUGUUUAAUACAUUAAUUUGUGUGUUAGUAAAAAAAAUUGGAAAUGAAACAAAUGGGAUAAAUAUAAUAAAAGAAAUAAAUAGGAUUCAAUGGGGCCUUUGGAUAUUGGGUCAUGGAUAAUGGGCUGGUGGUUAAAUGAAAUAAAUAAAAUAAAAUAAAAAAGGAAAAAAGGAAAAGCAAUUAAAAAGUGGUAGAACAGGAGAGAGAGAAAGAGUCCUGACGGACUGUGGAGAAACCCAUCUCGUCAGAACUUUGGCCAACCUAUUGGACGGUCGAACGUCCGUUUCGGCUCAAAUUUUGAAGAGGUGUUCUACUCGACGAAAGAAACGAUUCUACGAUGGCCGAUCAUGAUUUUAAUGGUCGAAUUCUUAAAUCUAUGGUAUGAACUUUUAAUUUGGACUGUAAUGAUAAGUAAUACAUCUUGUUGCUUUUGAGCAGUGUUUGGGAUAUUAUUAGUUGAUGAAAACUCUAGUGUGAGGUAUGUGUCGAAGAAAAAAAAUAAAAAUUCAGAGUGUUUUGGUUGAUUGCGAGCGUAGAAUAAAAGGAACCCUUAGAGUCAAACCUUUGACUUGGGGUCAUGGGCCAAAUUUUGGGUGGCCCGGAAUUUGAGUCGUGAUAGUUUCUAUGCUAAAUUUGCAGAUGAGAAGGUACACCGUACACAUAUCAUUUUCUCAUGUCCUCACUAAAAGCUUACUAACAUUUACUAUCUUUUAGGGUUGCAGCAGCCAUGCAUCUAUGCAUCUCACACAAAAAAACUAAUGGGAGAAUUACCAGAUAAAACCAAUGGAGAAUUACCAAAAUUAUCCUUCAACUAAAACUUUUAAAAUUCAAAGAAUUUAAAUCACUUCACUUGGUUUGUAGGGACAUUUAUGGUGCGUGACCCCUACAUUUAUUGUAAUUAUUGACAUUCAAAUUUUAAAUCAAAAUUUUGAGUUUUAAUUUUUACAAUUAUUAUAUAUAAUGAUAGUAUAAUUUGUUAUUUAAAUUUACUAUUUAAAACAAAAAUAUUUCUAAAAAAUAUUUUCAAAAUAUUAUUUAUUGUGUUUAUUUUUUUACAUUUUUUAUUUCUAAUUUUAAAUUUUAUUAAGAAAAAAACAAGUUUCAUAAUUAUAUAAUAAAAAUGAUGACUUUUUCAUAUCUAUAUUUUUAAAUUUUAAAUUGAUAAGUUAAUUUUUUUAUAUUAAAUUCGAAGAAGAUAAAAUGUUUAAUUUUUCAUUGAUUAUCUAAAAAGAAUAAGAAAAUGAUGAAGAAUGUUUAAUCAUUUUUUAUUUUUUAUAAUAAAAUAAAUUUUUUUAAAAAAAUAUAUGAUUUUUUUUCCUAUGCAUAGUUUUUUUUUUCUUAAUUUUCAUAUAUAUAUAUUUUUUUUCUCAAUGCGUCAAGUGGAUGGUGUCAAUACAUUUGAUAUGUUGAAUAUUAAUGAGGUAUAAAAAGUGAUCUUUAUGAUUAUUACUUUUAUUAUAAACCAUAGGUAUAACACAAAUAUGUUGUAAUCACAAUAUAAAUAUACAUUACAAUAAAACCUAAUUGAAAAAAUUUUGAAAUUUUUUAUAAAAGUGAUAAUUUUGUAUGAUCAUACCAUAUUUCAUGACAUAUUUAUAUUAUAAAUCAUUUAUGAAACUAAAUGAAAUACUAAUUUGAAUUCUUAAGACUAUAUAUAUAUAUAUAUUUCAAUGCACCGAAUGAUCGUUAAUAUAUUGAUAUGAUGUGUUAAUACCAAUAAGAUAUAAAUAAACAUUUUUAUAAUUAUUACUUUUAUAAUGAAAUAUAGAUAUAGCAUAAAUGUAUUAUACUUAUAAUACAAAUACACUAUCUUUACAAUAUAUUGCAACAUAAUUUAAUUUUUUCAUGUGUUGUAUUACCCAAUGAAUAGUUGUUCGUUAAUUCAUUUAAUAGUUGUGUAUUAUUCAAUUGAAUAUUUAUAUAUUAUUCAAUUGAUGAGAAAAUAAUUAUUCAUUUUAUUAGGGUAACAAAGUUUUUAAUUUAUAUUUCAUAUGUAAAAUGAUAUAAUAACCUUAGGAUAUAAUUUUUAUUUAUAAGAUAUUGAAAAUUAUUUUUUGUACGAGGUUCUUUAAAAAAUCUCAAUUUUUUUUGAAAAAAAAACAAUUUUUUAUUUUUUGGAGUAUGAGAAAUAUAAUGUUGAUUACUUGUACUUAUAUCAUGUAUGCACCCACUAAUUAUCACAUCCAACCCACCUUAUCUGAUAAUUCUCCCAAAAUUAAUUGAAUUUAUUGAUCUAUUUAGUGUUUCCCUACACUUUUUGUCAUAAGCAUAGAUGAAAAUUUCAAAAAAAAAAAAAAAAAAAGGUCGAAAUUUCAUGUUUCAGUAAGGGACAAUACAAAAAAUGGAAAAAAAUAUUGGAAAAAAUCAACGAAAUAUCAACUAGGACCAAUUAAUCAAUGAUUUAAAACGCGGAUUUAAUUUAAUUUAAUUGACCAUAAAAAAUAUAAAAUUAUAGUGAUAAUUUUCUUAACUUUUUUUUAUAUCAUUUAUAUAUUAAUUAAAUAUAAAAAAUAUAAAUAUUUAAAAAAAUUAUACAUAUAUAAUCAUUUAUUUUAUAUUAUUUAAUACAAUUGAAUUAAAUGGAUCAUAAUUUUAAUAUUAAAUAUAUUUUAAAAUUAGACCUAUUAUAAUUAUAUAUCACAAUAUUAUUAUGGAAUAAUAGUUAAUGUAAUUUAAUAAUAAAUAUAUGCUUAUAAAAUUCAUAUUUUUUUUAUUGAGGCAUAUAAUAUUAUUAUCAAAUAUGAUAAAUUUUAUUUUUCUUAAGAUAAUUUUGUAGUUUAUUACACUCAAAUUGAUCAAAUUUAACGUCAAUACGUAAAGUCUAGGAGCAUAUAGCAAUUAUCCAUAGGUAUCAUUUAUAAAAAAAAAUGUGUGUAUUUUCCGUAAUUAGUUUGUAAUGGAAGGUGUCAUAAUAAUAAAGAUAUUGAAUAACGACAUAAAUAUAAUAUUAAUAAUAAUAUCAACUGUCUUUAUAAUAAUAGGUAUAAUAUUAAUAAAAAUAAUACUAAUACCAUCAAUAAUAUUAAUAAUGAUAUGAAUAAUAUAAUAUUAAUCUCUCAUAAACAAUAAUAUUAAAAAUAGCAUAAAUAUUUAACUAUAAUAAUAUAAUAUUUAAUUAUUAAUAUUUAAUCCGUCUUUUUCUUUCCUUCUUUUUCACCUGUCGGCCGCCUUGGUUGAAAUUGUCAACCACCCACCCCCACAUAACAAUUGACGUUAGAUUAUUAUAUCAAAUUAUCAAUAUUGAGAGGUUUUUAGAAUUUAAAUGUUUUUUUUAAUUUAACGUUCACAUCUGGAUUUUUUUGUAAAAAAAAUAAAAAUAAAAGAUGAAUAAGUUGAUAAGAUUUCAUGAAAUUCAAAAUUCAUUUUUUGAAUUAAAUUGAUUAAAAAUAAAAUAGAGAUAAUCAUCCUAAUUCAAGAUAUAAAGAUUUUUCAUAGAUAUUUAUAUGAAUUAUAAUUUUUAUUUUUAUUUUAUAAAAAAAAAAGUGAGGAAUAUUGUAUUAGCAAACUAUUUAGGACAAAAAAAUAAGAAAUUUAAAAAAAAUGAUAAUGAAAUUGGCUCUUUUCUUUUUAAUAAAAAAAAAUAAGAAUCUUGACAAUUUUUUUAAAUAAAAAAUAUUUGACAGAUAAUUAGAAAAAAAAAAAUACAUAUUGGUAGUGCACAUUGUGAAUGUUCAACCGUUGUUAUCUUUUGUGGUGAAUAUAAAGUAAAAUUUCUGUGUCAGGCAUCUACCAAACCGUCAUAAUUAAUUGUUAACCUGGAAUAUUGACUGAAAAUUAAUGUUUACCUUAAUAGAUAAGUAAAGUGGGGUGACAUCAUCACUUAGGUCACUUCUGGAGGGCUGCUCCUGUAAUUAAUAUUAGGGAGAAUUGUGUUUUGGGUCCAGCUGGGUCCAAAAAUUAACAUUUGGUCCUCCAAUCACCCAUAUUUAAGUCCAAGGAUAUGAGAUAGUAAUUGACAAAAAUACCCACGUGACUCAUUUUUGUCUUUAUUCUACUACUUGCCACUCAUCUUUCUUAUUUAACCAUUUUUUGAUUUUUCAUUUUUUUAAAACUCUUUAUAAAUAAUUGAAAAUUUACAUUAUUUUUUAUUUUUAAAUUAUAAAUAAACAAAAAUUAUAUUAAUGAUUCAAAGACUAUUUUAGAAAAUACUUUUUAAAAAAAUAUUAAUUUAAAUAAAUAAAAAUUAAUAUUUUAUAUUUAUUUUUAUCAUUUACAUUUUAGAAGUAAAUAAUUUAAUGAUUAAAAUACCAUUUAAAAUAAAUAUAUUCACUAUUUUAUUUUAUUUUUAUACUAAAAAGUAUUUUAAAGUUUUUUUUUACUAUUAUAAAAUAAAAAGUUUAAUUUUUUUUUAAUCUUCUUCCUUCCUUAUUUUAACAACUUUUUGAACAUGAUUUUUAGUAAUAAGUUAUAUGAAAUGCUACAAAUUUAUUUAUUAAUGAUUUUUUUUUUAAUGAUUUGAAUUAAUUGAAAAUUUAUUAAAAUAAAAAAAAUAAAAAAAAUAAAGAAAGGGGAUGGAUUGAGAGUUUUUAUUUUAAUAUAUAUAUAUAUAUAUAUUUUAAAAAAAUUCCCAAAUUAAAAAAGGAAAAAAAAAAAACAAUUCCUCAAGUUCCCAUGAAAAAAAAAAUGUUUUUUUUAAAUUCCCAAAUUAUAAAAAAAAAAAAAAAAAAUUACUCAAGGGAACUCGUCUCUUCAUGAAAAAAAAAAUAUUUUUUUUUAAAAAAAAAUUCCUCAAGGUAACUCGUCUUUUGAAAAAAAAAAUUUUAUAUAUAUAUAUAUUUUUAAAAAUUCCCAAAUUAUAUUAAAAAAAAAAACCACCCGGGUGGAUAUUCGGAGAAAGUGGGAUGUCAUCCGGACAGAAUUCCUACCCGGGUGGAAUGAGCGAUGAUUCCAUCCGGGGGGAAUGAUCGUUCCACCCGGGUAGGAAUUCUGUCCGGAUGACAUCCCACUUUAUCCGGAUAUCCACCCGAGUGGUUUUUUUUUUUUAAUAUAAUUUGGGAAUUUUAAAAAGAUAUAUAUAUAAAUUUUUUUUUUUUUCAAGAGACGAGUUACCAGGCUCCUAAUAGGUUUUGUACUAUUUUUAAACAACUUGAAUUUGAUAUUAAGACAAUUAUUGAUAGUUUUUUUUUUUCUUUUUUUUACCAAACUAUUUCAUUAAGACAUUCCCUACAAAAAUUAACACAUAAGAAAUAAAAUUUUGAGUUUUUUGAGUUAUUGUACAAGGUAUUACACUAACUGUACAAGACAAAUUUAGUAAUUGUAUAAGGGUGUAUAAGACUACUUUUUGUUAAGGAUUUCAAGUGAUUUUGAAAAAAUUUCCUAUUUUUUUCCAUUCAAAAUUUUUUCCCCCACUCAAAUUCUCUCACUCAAGAAUUGUUUCAAAUUUUAUUUUUAAAUUUCAUCAUCAAAAAUUUGUAAUUGUAUAUUUUGUUUUGUAGUUUUAGCAAUGUUAUUUCUUUUCACUAUAUAUUUUUUUUUUGUGAAAUUUUAUCCAAAUGAAUCUAUAUUUAAAAUUAUAAUCAUAUUUAUCAAAAUUUUUACUAAGAUUAUCUUUAAUUCUUUUAAUAUAUUUAUACUCAUUUAUUUAAAAAAUGAAAAACUAAUUUAUUUAUUUUUUUGUAAACAUGUUCUAUUACCUUUCAAGUAAAAAAUUAGAUAAGUUUCAAAGUCAAUAAAUAAAAAAAUUAAAUACCACUUUCAAUAAUUUUUAGAUAAAAUUUUAUAUAAUAUAUUUUAUUUGAAACUUAAUUUUUAAAGUUUAACUAAAAAAUUGUAUUGACAAUUUUCUUGUUGUGGGUCAAAAUACUUUGCAUUAGUCUAUCUAGAUAAGAAAAAUUAUUAAUAUAAUAUUAGAACUUCAUAUCUUAGUUUUUUUUUUUCAACAAAUUUAUCUUUUUAAAAAUUUUAAAAUAAAAUCAUUAAAAAUUAAAAAGCUAAAAAGAUAUAUAUAAUAAAGUGAAGUGAUAGUUAAUUUUAAAAUUUUUUAAAAUAUGGUUAAUGUAGAAAAUAUAAAAAAUAAUUAAAAAUAAGAGAAAAAUAUAGAUGAAAGGGUAAUAUAAAUUUAAAAUAAAAAAUGAAAAUUAAACUAAAAGAUAAAUACAAAAAGAUAAAAAAUAUUUGGAUGAAAAAUCCCAAAAUUUUUAUCAUUGCUUUUAAUAAGAGCAAAAAGAUUCAAUAUCUUUAAAAAUGAAAAAUAAAAAAAUAUUAUUGUUUUUUAUUUGACAUAAAAUAGAAAUAUAUAUUGGAAUAAAAAGGACAAAAAAAAGUUAGAAAUGAGUAAUAUUUAAUAGGGAAUAGAAAAGGAAAUAAAAAAUAAAAAAAAAAUUAAAAUUCACACUCACUUGUAGGCAUAUAAGGGAUAAGGGUAUUUUAGGAAUUAAUGAAAGACAAUAUCCUUCAUCUUCAUUUUCAUACUUUGUUUGGGUCUUGGGCUUAAAUAUGAGUGAUUGGAGGACCAAAUGUUAAUUUUUGGACCCAGCUGGACCCAAAACACAAUUCUCCCUUAAUAUUAUACGCCUCUCAGAAGGCUCUAUAUAUAUAUUAUUAAUUUGGCCAUUGACCGAUGGACAAUAUGAUUAAGGGUCAAGAGCAGUAAUGAAACCGUGAAGCACUUGGAUAGACCUUAUAAGAAGCCAUCAAAUGGAGCAGAGGAACCAAGCUUAGAUAGUGAUAUAAUGGCUGAAGAAGUGAAGCUAAUUGGGGUGUGGGGAAGCCCAUUUAGUCGCAGAGUAGAGAUUGCUCUGAAACUGAAAGGAGUCCAGUAUGAGUACAUUGAAGUUGAUCUCACUAAUAAGAGCCCUUUGCUUCUCAAGUCUAACCCCGUUCACAAGAAGGUCCCUGUGCUCUUGCACAACGGGAAGCCCAUCGCGGAAUCACUCGUUAUUCUCGAGUACAUCGACGAGACCUGGAAAGCCAAUCCUAUCUUGCCUCAGCACCCUUAUGACAGAGCCAUGGCACGCUUCUGGGCUAAGUACAUAGAUGAAAAGGUAUAAUACCAUUUUUCCCAUGCCCUUUUUUUUUCCCCCGCAGAACAUUCUUGAGUCAAAUGAUUUUUUCCUAGGCCUGCAACCCCUAUUUCACUUAGAAACCAAUUGAAUCUAUUGUGUUUAGUGCUUGCCUGCACUGUGGAACGCUUGUUGGUGCGAAAAGAAGGACCGAGAGAAGGCCGUGGAAGAAGCAAACGUGUGCCUGAAAACGCUAGAAAAUGAGCUCAAGGAUAAGAAGUUCUUUGGAGGAGAGAGUAUCGGAUUUGUAGAUAUCGCUGCCAAUUUCAUAGGCUUUUGGGUUGGAGUUCUUGGGGAAGUGGUUGGAGUGGAAUUGCUGACAAUUGACAAAUUUCCAAUAUUAUGCAAAUGGAGAGAUGAGUACGUCGGGUGCAGUGUGAUCAAGGAAAAUCUGCCUUCCAAAGAAAAGCUAGGGGCCUAUUUGCGGACCCGGGCUGAAAGCGCCAGUCAAUCCAAAUGAAUGGUUUGUGGAUGAGGUUAUGCGGACUGCUGCUCAUGGACAUGAGUAACUUGAAAGAAAACCAGCCUUCUGUAUAUUUGUGUAAUGCGUUGUGCUUCUGCUUUUCUAGUAUGUUGUCUACUUGUUUUGGC
rnacentral:lncRNA from 1 species